rnacentral:rRNA from 1 species
UGCAAGUCGAUCGGUAACAGGUGUAGCAAUACAUGCUGACGAGAGGCGGACGGGUGAGGAAUAUUUGGGAAUCUGCCCAUCAGCGGGGGACAACCCGGGGAAACCCGGGCUAAUACCGCAUACGCUCUACGGAGGAAAGCCGGGGACCGCAAGGCCUGGCACUGAUGGAUGAGCCCAAAUCGGAUUAGCUAGUUGGCGGGGUAACGGCCCACCAAGGCGACGAUCCGUAGCUGGUCUGAGAGGACGAUCAGCCACACCGGAACUGAGACACGGUCCGGACUCCUACGGGAGGCAGCAGUGGGGAAUAUUGGACAAUGGGGGAAACCCUGAUCCAGCGACGCCGCGUGGGUGAAGAAGGCCUGCGGGUUGUAAAGCCCUUUCGGUAGGGACGAAAGCUCUUGCUCUAAUAAUGCAAGAGGUUGACUUAACCUACAUAAGAAGCACCGGCUAACUCUGUGCCAGCAGCCGCGGUAAUACAGAGGGUGCGAGCGUUAAUCGGAAUUACUGGGCGUAAAGCGUACGUAGUCGGCUUGCCAAGUCGGGUGUGAAAUCCCCGGGCUCAACCUGGGAACUGCAUCCGAAACUGGCUUGCUAGAGUAUGGGAGAGGGAGGCGGAAUUUCUGGUGUAGCAGUGAAAUGCGUAGAUAUCAGAAGGAACAUCAGUGGCGAAGGCGGCCUCCUGGACCAAUACUGACGAUCA